rnacentral:rRNA from 1 species
UACGGGAGGCAGCAGUGGGGAAUAUUGCACAAUGGGCGCAAGCCUGAUGCAGCCAUGCCGCGUGUAUGAAGAAGGCCUUCGGGUUGUAAAGUACUUUCAGUCGUGAGGAAGGUGUUAAGGUUAAUAACCUUAGCAAUUGACGUUAGCGACAGAAGAAGCACCGGCUAACUCCAUGCCAGCAGCCGCGGUAAUACGGAGGGUGCGAGCGUUAAUCGGAAUUACUGGGCGUAAAGGGCACGCAGGCGGUUAAUUAAGUUGGAUGUGAAAUCCCCGGGCUUAACCUGGGAAUGGCAUUCAAGACUGGUUAGCUAGAGUCUUGUAGAGGGGGUAGAAUUCCAUGUGUAGCGGUGAAAUGCGUAGAGAUGUGGAGGAAUACCGGUGGCGAAGGCGGCCCCUGGACAAAGACUGACGCUCAUGUGCGAAAGCGUGGGGAGCAAACAGGGAUUAGAUACC